rnacentral:rRNA from 1 species
AAACGUAGGAUCCGAGCGUUAUCCGAAUUCACUGGGCGUAAAGCGCAUGCAGGCGGCCGCACAAGUUGGAUGUGAAAUCUCCCGGCUCAACUGGGAGGGGACGUUCAAAACUGUGCGGCUCGAGGGCGGUAGAGGAAGGUAGAAUUCCCGGUGUAGUGGUGAAAUGCGUAGAUAUCGGGAGGAAUACCCGUGGCGAAGGCGACCUUCUGGACCGUUUCUGACGCUCAGAUGCGAAAGCUAGGGGAGCGAACGGGAUUAGAAACCCCGGUAGUCCUAGCCGUAAACGAUGUCGACUGGGCGUGGGUGGGGUAAAAGCCAUCCGUGCCGAAGCUAACGCGUUAAGUAUCCCGCCUGGGGAGUACGACCGCAAGGUUAAA